rnacentral:lncRNA from 1 species
GUUACAAACUACAUUUUUGAUAGUUUGCAAGGCAGUGAUCCAUCUACAUAUCAAUGACCACCUUCAGAAAUGGCAGAUUUCUUUAGUGAUGCUAUUCCAGGUCUAAAGAUAAAUCAGCAAGAAGAGCCAGGAUUUGAAGUCAUCACUAGAAUUGAUUUGGGAGAGUGACCUGUUCAAAGGUGGGAACCAGUAUUCCUAAACAUAGAGAGCGUGAAGCAGAUGAUAUUCAGAGGGGUUCUUAGUCAUUCAUUACGAAAGCAAACAUGGAAAUUUCUCCUGGGUUAUUUUCCUUAGGAUAGUACCAAAAAGGAAAGAACUCACUUACAAAACCAAAAAAGCUGAUGAGUACCUCAGGGUGAAACUGCAGUGGAAGUCUGUGAGCGAGGCACAGGAGAAGAGACACUCACACUUGAGAGACUAUAGAAGCCUGAUCGAGAAAGAUGUCAACAGAACAGAUCGAACAAACACGUUUAUGAAGGCCAAGAUAACUCGGGGCUGAUCCUGCUUCACAAUAUUUUGAUGGCCUACUGCAUGUAUGACUUUGAUUUAGGAUAUGUACAAGGAAUGAGCGACUUACUUUUCCUCCCUUUGUAUGUGGUGGAGAAUGAAGUGGAUGCCUUUUGGUGCUUUGCCUACAGAUGGCACAAUACAAGGAGUUGCCAGAUGCAUCAAAAAUUUUGAAGAACCAAUGCAAGGCAUGAAGACCCAGUUAAUCCAGUUGAGCACCUUACUCAGAUUAUUGGACGGUGGAUUUUUUUUUUAACUAUUUAGAAUCCCAGGACUCUGGGUAUCUAUAUUUUUGCUUCAGAUGGUUUUAAAAUCAGAUUUAAAAGGGACUUUACUUUUCUAGAUAUACUUCGAUUAUAGGAGGUAAUGAGGACUGAACUGCCCUGUAAGAAUUUUCAUCUUCUUCUGUGUUGUACUAUCCUGGAAUCAGAAAAGCAACAGAUAACGGAAAAGCACUAUGGCUUCAAUGAAAUCCUUAAGCACAUCAAUGAAUUGCCCAUGAAGACUGAUGUGGAAGAUACACUAUGCAAAGCCACCUACAGGUGGCACAAUGCAAGGAACUGCCACAAGCAGUGAGAUUCUGGGACCUCAGGACAGUGAAGUUACAAUGACAGAUUCUGACACUGAUGAAAAUG